UCGCAACUGUGCCCGGCUGGUCCGCGCGUUGAGGAGCCGGCUCUUUAACCUGGUUAUCUCACUGUUCGGUAAGCGGUGUGGUGCUAAUGUGGUAGCAAACUCUGCACUCGAGUGUUUGUUGCUUUGUUUUUGCUGCUCGGCUGCUCCGUAACGUCAUAAAGCCCAUCUUAAUAUGGGCCCGGUUCGCCUCCUGCACGACCCAUCACAGUCCACCACCACUCCACGACCACGAGCGAGCACCCAGCGCACCGCUGCUCGCGUCGGCCGCCCUCCGCAUGCUUUUUGCUUCCCCGUCUCCGGCGACUCUGAUCCCUCUCCUCUUCCAGUGCUCGAUCGCGCACCAGGUUCCAUACCACCGACUCAGUAAUGUUCGUACCAACCCGGACGCAGCGACCUAGCUAGCCGCCCUCUCGCUGCAGCUCCGUGCCGCGGAGGCUCGCGACGCGUUCGACGGAAUGCCGCACGAGCCAUGGGACCGUCGCCCCAGUGGUGACGGGUCCUCAUUCUUGCCGUGCCGUGUUCCUGCCUCGCUCAGGCCCUUCAAUUCAUCGGUGACGCUCGUCCGCUUUACGGUCUUUUGCGACGGCUUGUGGCCUCGUCAUUGUCGCCGUCUGCCGGUCGAAGCACUUGUCAUGGCCAUGCGUGCGGAGGGGAGCCCGCGCGGGAGCGGAUAUACGGCCCAGGAAUUGAUUGAUUGAUUCAGAUUCAAGUUGUGGGAGUCAACAAUUGGUAGAGUGUGAAUGUGUGAUGGAUAUCUAGUUCAUGGGCAGGCAGUGUGAUAGUGCGGAUGAGAAAAGGUGCGCGCCAGAGCCCUGAGAAGAGGAGCAAACAUUAAACAUGUGUCGAGGGAUAAAGGUAAUAAUGUACUGGACAAGUCUGAUCUCCAAUGCACAUUGAUCCCAAUGUACGCCGAAGAUUCUCAAUCAUACACUUACUGAAAACAAUGUAGUAUGCCUUAUUUUGUUCCAAGACACGUUAUCGUUACAUUCUUUUCAACUCUGUUUGACUGAAGAAGUUUGGCCAUCUUUGUCUUGGCAGAGAAAAUUGCAGAAAAGAUUUGUGAAUCCAUAGCAGCCAGAGUUCAGGGGGAGAUUUGAGAUCCUCCACAAGAACUCUAAAAAUGGUUUUUCUGCUGGAAGUUCAACACCUCAAGUCCUUAACACAACACAUAGCUUCACAACACUCUGCUCUUGAUGAUUACUUCAGGUGUCAAUCUUGGCCGAUGCCGAUCUCUCCAACUCCCUUUGGAGUGAAGGAAGCCAUAUGCCAUUGUUUUAGCUGGAGUACGUGGAGCAACAAAAUCUGCAUGUUUUUGCAAAAGGUAUAUUUAAGACGGUCGGCAAUUAAGUCAUUGCUUAUGCACAUCCCAAUAGUUUGUCGGCUGAGCGAAAAGUGAGCUUGAAUUUUUCACUACAAUUGGAUUCGAGUUUUGUAAUGCAGCUAUCAACUGAACUGACCAAGGGAAAAAGAAGGGCGCAAAGGCUGGCCGAUGCAUGGUGUGGUGUGAUGACCCCAUGCAUCAACCUUGUAGUUGGCACCGAAUCCCACUCUCCGAGGCAGCUUCACCAUGACACCAUCCAUCCAUCCAUCCAUCGAUCUCUUUGGUAUGCCCCGCUUCAUCUCCCACCGCUUUCCUUUUCCUUUUGGUUUGUUUUUUGGUUCUCAAAAGUUGCGUGUCUUUAGCUCUUUCCAAGGGAGGGUACUUCCAUCCAGCCUCCCCCCAGCACCCUGCUACCACUACUCACUCUCCCACUGGUCACUGCCUGCAUUUCCAUCCAAGGAUGAGUGAUAUCUGUAAUAACCCGUAUGAACGGGACCUGGCCAAUCUGGUCCAGUGGCUUCCGAUUCCCGGGCUCUUGAACCUUCAAAUCAUGCUAACCAUUAACAAUGCAGGCCCUCCUCCCUUUUGCGAUCGAUUCGAUUUUCUUCGUAGCGCUUUUACAGGGGGUGGCAGUGUGAACACGAGCCGCGACUAAGCGUUGGUGAUGUUGGAGGUGGGGGAAUAAAGCGUGCGCUUGUCAUGUUGGCCUCUUUACGAUUGCAAGUCUACGGUGCGAAUAAUCUGCUGUUGCUGUAGCCUAAUUUUGUAUUAUUAUUAUUAUUAUUAUUAUUACCCGGCAAUUUUCUGUGGCUGAGGAAUGGUUUUGAUUCACUGAAUACCUCGUCCCCUUAAUUCCCAAUCGUACGUGCAUAUGCUGUGUACUUCUUCAGGAAAGUCCAUUUCUGAAUUUUAGAUUUUUGUAUUGCCCAGCUCACUCGCUAUGAGAUUGGAUGAACUGUGGUGGUGGUGGUGUGGUACCCAUUUUUUUCUUCUGAACUAUAAUUAACAGCUUGCCGGUAUGCUCCUCUAUGACUGUCUUGCAGGUUUACUUGCCGGUAUGCUCCUGUCUUGCAGGGGGGGUCAGAGGACCGCGGGCGCGGUGGCGGUGCCGACCGCCGAGGCAGAGGGGAACCAUGCUGUGGGCUGUGGCGUGUGCGGUCGUGAGCGGAAUGGCAGUUUGGCCGGGCACUGGGAGAGGGCAUGGCCGAGACGGGGGCGGUUGGCGGUUUUGUUGGAGUUGGAGGCGUGCAGCCGAUGAGAUGAUGGCCUCGCCGUCCCGUGUGUCACGGCUACUUGUGCUUCUUGUGCAGCACCGGCCCGCCCGCCAGGCGCCAGCCAUACGCCCGUUCUGUGAAGCCAGUCCACUGCUCCACUCCCAGGGAAAAGCAACACCCAACACAACACCACCAUGGGCCACUCUGCCUGCUGCUCAGUCUGCUCAUGAUGUGCCUGUCCCUCUGAUAACAUCACAAGUCCAGUCUCUCUCAUCAGUCGGUCCGGUCCAGUCCAGUCAAGUCGUCUGCCCUCCAGGCUCUUGGAGGCGCGCAUCGUGCCCGUGACCUGUGUUUAGGGCCUGUUUAGAAUGUGGAUGAAAAUUUUUUGGGUGUCACAUCGGAUGUGUCGGAAGGAUGUCGGGAAGGGUUUUUAGAAACUAAUAAAAAAACAAAU